GACAGAGGGGGCAAGCGUUGCUCGGAAUUACUGGGCGUAAAGGGCGCGUAGGCGGGAUGGCAAGUCGGUCGUGAAAUCCUUCGGCUCAACCGAAGAACGUCGAUCGAUACUGCUGUUCUUGAGGGUUGCAGAGGAGACUGGAAUUCCCGGUGUAGCGGUGAAAUGUGUAGAGAUCGGGGAGGAACGACCGGUGGCGAAGGCGGGUCUCUGG
rnacentral:rRNA from 1 species